rnacentral:rRNA from 1 species
AUGUACAUUCCUACAACAUAGAUUUAAUGCACCAGAUCCAAUUAGAACUCCACAGUUAAGCAUGCUCGGGAUAGAGUAAUGGGAUGGGUGACCACUGGGCAAGUCCUAUUGUUUUACAUG